UACGGAGGGGGCUAGCGUUGUUCGGAAUUACUGGGCGUAAAGCGCACGUAGGCGGCUUUGUAAGUUAGAGGUGAAAGCCCGGGGCUCAACUCCGGAAUUGCCUUUAAGACUGCAUCGCUAGAAUUGUGGAGAGGUAAGUGGAAUUCCGAGUGUAGAGGUGAAAUUCGUAGAUAUUCGGAAGAACACCAGUGGCGAAGGCGACUUACUGGACACAUAUUGACGCUGAGGUGCGAAAAGCGUGGGGAGCAAACAGG
rnacentral:rRNA from 1 species